UCUGGACAUGCUUCACGGUCCAUGAAUGUAGCAAAAGUACUGUGUAAGUCCCCAAGGUUCCUAGUAUGGUGAUCUACCUUCAGUUGUUGGCGAUCAAUAGCCCGUUUUUGUUUUCAUUG